GAGGAAUAUUCCACAAUGGGCGCAAGCCUGAUGGAGCGACACCGCGUGAGGGAAGAAGCCUUUCGGGGUGUAAACCUCUUUUUUCGGGGAUGACAGGGCCGGGGGGCCUUGCGCAAGCAAGGUAAGCCCCGGCAUACGACAGUACCCGAAGAAUAAGCCUCGGCUAACUACGUGCCCGCCGCCGCGGUAAUACGUAGGAGGCGAGCGUUGUCCGGAUUUACUGGGCGUAAAGGGCGCGCAGGCGGCGCUCCAAGUACUCUGUGAAAUCCACCUGCUCAACGGGUGGGGUGCAGAGUAGACCGGGGGGCUUGAGGACGGUAGAGGGGGGUGGAAUUGCUGGUGUAGCGGUGAAAUGCGUAGAGAUCAGCAGGAACACCCGUGGCGAAGGCGGCCCCCUGGGCCGUACCUGACGCUGAGGCGCGAAGGCUAGGGGAGCGAA
rnacentral:rRNA from 1 species